AUUGAACGCUGGCGGCAGGCUUAACACAUGCAAGUCGAGCGGAGAGAGGUAGCUUGCUACUGAUCUUAGCGGCGGACGGGUGAGUAAUGCUUAGGAAUCUGCCUAUUAGUGGGGGACAACAUUUCGAAAGGAAUGCUAAUACCGCAUACGUCCUACGGGAGAAAGCAGGGGAUCUUCGGACCUUGCGCUAAUAGAUGAGCCUAAGUCGGAUUAACUAGUUGGCGGGGUAAAGGCCUACCAAGGCGACGAUCUGUAGCGGGUCUGAGAGGAUGAUCCGCCACACUGGGACUGAGACACGGCCCAGACUCCUACGGGAGGCAGCAGUGGGGAAUAUUGGACAAUGGGCGGAAGCCUGAUCCAGCCAUGCCGCGUGUGUGAAGAAGGCCUUAUGGUUGUAAAGCACUUUAAGCGAGGAGGAGGCUACUUUAGUUAAUACCUAGAGAUAGUGGACGUUACUCGCAGAAUAAGCACCGGCUAACUCUGUGCCAGCCGCCGCCGCAGUAA
rnacentral:rRNA from 1 species